rnacentral:rRNA from 1 species
CCCUUAGAUGUCCUGGGCCGCACGCGCGCUACACUGAGUGUCUGAGAUACGAGUCUGCCUGGUCCGGCAAGGUCUAGGUAAUCGCUAAAAGACACAUCAUGCUUGGGAUAGAUUAUUGCACAUAUUAAUCUUGAACGAGGAAUUCCUAGUAAGCGCAAGUCAACAGCUUGCGUUGAUUACGUCCCUGCCCUUUGUACACACCGCCCGUCGCUACUACUGAUUGGAUGUUUAAGCGAGGUUCUCGAACUGCUAGCGACUUAGCUUCGGUGAGGUCGCAGUGUGGGAAGUGAACCUAGCUUUGGUGUCUAGAGGAAGUAAAAGUCGUAACA